rnacentral:rRNA from 1 species
UUCGCAAUGCCCGAAAGGGUGAACGAGCGACGCCGCGUGCGGGACGAAGGCCUUCGGGUUGUAAACUCCUGUCGAGGGGGAUGAAGGCCCCGCACCGGGGCGUGACUGAUCCCUGGAGGAAGCACGGGCUAAGUUCGUGCCAGCAGCCGCGGUAAGACGAACCGUGCGAACGUUAUUCGGAAUCACUGGGCUUAAAGCGCGCAUAGGCGGGCCGGCACGUCCGUCGCUGAAAGCCCCCGGCUCAACCGGGGAACCGGCGGGGAUACGACUGGCCUGGAGGGGCGUAGGGGGACCUGGAACUUCCGGUGGAGCGGUGAAAUGCGUUGAGAUCGGAAGGAACGCCCGUGGCGAAAGCGAGGUCCUGGACGCCUGCUGACGCUGAGGCGCGAAAGCCAGGGGAGCGAACGGGAUUAGAUACCCCGGUAGUCUUGGCCGUAAACGAUGGGCACUAAGUAGAGGGGUUUU